AGGUGACUAUAGCAUCAGGGUUCCACCUCUUCCCAUUCCGAACAGAGAAGUUAAGCCUGAUCACGCCGAUGGUACUGCGUAAUAGUGGGAGAGUAGGUCGUCGCCGUUUU
rnacentral:rRNA from 1 species